ensembl:lncRNA
UUUGGGUUUAAUUUUUGUAUUUUUUAUUUCAGUUUUAGCUUAUAAUUUUAGUGCUUCUACUUAAACUUAUUUCAGUUCAUUUCCAAGUCAACAUUUCCAAUUUAUUUUUUAUUUAUUUUUUAUUUCAGUUGACAAAGCUGUUUUUAAUCAUUAUUAGGUUUAGUUAAUGAACCCUGCCUCUUAUUAUCUACCAGACUUCUAUAGAGACACUUUGACCUCACAAUCAGUUGCUAUUGCAUAAAUCCAGUGCGAGCUACAUCUGUGUCCUCUGGUUUGAUUGAUGCAGUGUGACUGUGUGUGUGUUCCAGCAGGAGGCGCUGUAUUCCUGUAACACACUGUGAGAGGAUCGUCCAGCAGGACCACAGGUGCAUCUCAGGUCUUUCCAGCUGUGAUGCGGCGGUGACUGCAGUGAUGUUUGUGUGUAUUUGGUUGAUAAAAGCAGCGUUUUGUGAUGGUUUGGUGACCUCACCCUCUGCAGACAAACACUGCGGCCCUCAAACGGACGUCUGAUCGAUGCACGGAAGAAAAGAGAGAAACAUGAUGAUGAGUGGAUCUCACGAAAACACGUCCAAGGCACAGCUCACCCUGAAAUCAAAAAGAAAAAAGAAUUGAAUAAGAACUUACAGUUUGUAUGAAGAACAUUCUGCCUAUUUUUAGGAAGAUUUUCAUUAUGAAAUUAUUUUCAUGACACAUUUCCCAUUUUAUAUCUCAGUAGUUCUUACUACUGUAAUUGCCAGUUUUUCCUGUAUUUUUAAUUUAAAUAAGCAAAACAUUAAAGACAAGAAAGGCAC